GACGAACGCUGGCGGCGUGCUUAACACAUGCAAGUCGAACGGAAAGGCCCUGCUUUUGUGGGGUGCUCGAGUGGCGAACGGGUGAGUAACACGUGAGUAACCUGCCCUUGACUUUGGGAUAACUUCAGGAAACUGGGGCUAAUACCGGAUAGGAGCUCCUGCUGCAUGGUGGGGGUUGGAAAGUUUCGGCGGUCGGGGCUGGAGUCGCGGCUUAUCAGCUUGUUGGUGGGGUAGUGGCUUACCAAGGCUUUGACGGGUAGCCGGCCUGAGAGGGUGACCGGCCACAUUGGGACUGAGAUACGGCCCAGACUCCUACGGGAGGCAGCAGUGGAGAAUAUUGCGCAAUGGGCGGGAGCCUGAUGCAGCAACGCCGCGUGCGGGAUGACGGCCUUCGGGUUGUAAACCGCUUUCGCCUGUGACGAAGCGUGAGUGACGGUACUGGGUAAAGAAGCACCGGCUAACUACGUG
rnacentral:rRNA from 1 species